rnacentral:rRNA from 1 species
UAAUACGGGGGGAGCAAGCGUUGUUCGGAUUUACUGGGCGUAAAGGGCGCGUAGGCGGUCGUGACAAGUCACUUGUGAAAUCUCCGGGCUUAACUCGGAACGGUCAAGUGAUACUGUCGGACUAGAGUACAGAAGGGGCAACUGGAAUUCUCGGUGUAGCGGUGAAAUGCGUAGAUAUCGAGAGGAACACCUGCGGCGAAGGCGGGUUGCUGGGCUGAUACUGACGCUGAGGCGCGAAAGCCAGGGGAGCGAACGGGAUUAGAUACCCCGGUAGUCCUGGCCUUAAGCGAUGAAUGCUUGGUGUCUCGGGUUAUAAAGUCCCGGGGUGCCGUCGCUAACGCUUUUAGCAUUCCGCCUGGGGAGUACGGUCGCAAGACUGAAACUCAAAGGAAUUGACGG